AAUAUUUGACAAUGGGCGAAAGCCUGAUCCAGCUAUGCCGCGUGUGUGAAGAAGGUCNNNGGUUUNUCAAGCACUUUAAGUUGNGAGNAAGGGCAGUAAGUUAAUACCUUGCUGUUUUGACGUUACCGACAGAAUAAGCACCGGCUAACUUCGUGCCAGCAGCCGCGGUAAUACGAAGGGUUCAAGCGUUAAUCGGAAUUACUGGGCGUAAAGCGCGAGUAGGUGGUUCGUUAAGUUGGAAGUGAAAGCCCCGGGCUUAACCUGGGAAUUGCUUUCAAAACUGACGAGCUAGAGUACGGUAGAGGGUAGUGGAAUUUCCUGUGUAGCGGUGAAAUGCGUAGAUAUAGGAAGGAACAUCAGUGGCGAAGGCGACUACCUGGACUGAUACUGACACUGAGGUGCGAAAGCGUGGGGAGCAAACAGG
rnacentral:rRNA from 1 species